ACUGACUAAAUUUAUUUUACCUCAAGCAAUUUAGGACUCACUGUGAAAGUGAAGUGGUGCAACAAAUUCCUAAUUGAAUAAAUAGCAAAAAAAAACUUCAGAAUAAAAUUUAAAACCAAAACAUAUUUUGAGCGUAUUUCAUAUGUAUUUUAUUAUUGAAAGUAGAAUCCUCUAUUGUAUCGUAAAAGGAUUUUCUAGAACGGUUUGAAAUUGCCGUGAUUAAAGUGUAACUCAGUUUUGUGAGCCUACAAGUUUUCAUCCGCUUAGCUCAUUGUUUAAGAUCGGUGUAGAGGUGUAGGUAUACAUUCUAUAAUUUCAUGAUUACCUACCAAACAACCCAUACUAAUAUUUAACUAACUGUCGCCACUUCAAAAGCUCUUUAAACUAUAAGACAAAACCACAUGUCAGUCCAAUGUUACAUAAUAUUUAUCUUUGCUCAAUACAAAUUAUCACACAUGGACCAAGUAAGAGUUACUUCACACCUUUUUUAUAUCAAUCCAGUCAUAAACGGACGUACAUGAAAAUAUUCACGGUAACUGAUUAUCCUCGCCCGUUUCAUUCUUAACCCAGUCAGAAGUUACCCUAAUCUGAUUAAAUCAAAUAAAAAAAUCACAAAUUUCUGAAUAGUUGAGUCCAAAAACAUAAUUCGCCAAGUUUUUAGAGUCUCAGCAUUCCACAUGAGUAAUAAAAUUUAGGUGAAUACUACUUAUUAGAACAUACCUAAUAUACGGCUUCGUUUCGUUUCGACACAGGAACCAAGCAUCACAGAGCUUGCUGGCAAAGUAUAUCAGAAGUCAGGACUAUGUAAAGCUAUCAUACCGAGAAAAAACAAUUCCGUACCAAUAAAUUAUGAUUUUUAGUGAAAUCAUGAUGACAAACUAUAAAAGAAGAGCAGAUAGAAAUAGUCUCUAAGAUUUCAGUUCAUAACAUUAAAUAAUAUUAAAUUAAUCUAAGUUUUGUUUAGUGAGCUUAGUCUAUGAAAUGGUAAUCUCAAAAACUUUCUUAGGAACUUUGUAGGUUUUCGUUAGGCUCUGAGCGAUACGGAACGCCCAAACAGGGCUUAUGAUAUACAUCACAAACUUAUCGUUCUUAUCAAGAUCCAGCGUCCAUUUAGUUCUCCAUGGAAAUUCUAAAAUUAGGGAUAUAUUUAUAAACUAUGAUUGGAGAGAGAGGCGUGUUUGGGACGUAGGACGUGCGCAGCGCCUGGCGACAACUUACUGUCACUCAGUUUUGUGGAGGUUGUCUGUCGAGCGCCACCUGCCAUGCCGAACCACGAGACUACCAGCCUCAUCGCCACCUACCUCAUCCUGGUGCUCCUGCUGGCCAGUCUGUGGCUCCUUUACUCUGGAAUGUUCUGAGAUUGCAAAUGGGAACAAAAUGAAGAGACCAAAAGGAAUGGCUGAUAAUAAUUAAGUUUAAUUUAAGAAACUGUAGGCUUAAGAUUAACAUACCCAAGCAUUUAAGAGAUUACAAUGCAAUGCAAUUAAAACCCAUAAACAUGUGACGGAUCUGUAGCCGUGCUGGGCAUUCCAAUAAUCCAACAUACACAAAUAAUUUUAAAACGAUGAAGACAUCAACUGGACACAACCGCAGCGAUGGUACAUAUUAUUAUAGUAAUUCUUAAGAGCUUUUAAUAAAUCAUUGUUUUGAUUAAA